AACGAACGCUGGCGGCAUGCCUAACACAUGCAAGUCGAACGAGACCUUCGGGUCUAGUGGCGCACGGGUGCGUAACGCGUGGGAACCUGCCCUUAGGUUCGGAAUAACUCCCCGAGAGGGGUGCUAAUACCGGAUAAUGUCUUCGGACCAAAGAUUUAUCGCCUUUGGAUGGGCCCGCGUUGGAUUAGCUAGUUGGUAGGGUAAAAGCCUACCAAGGCGACGAUCCAUAGCUGGUCUGAGAGGAUGAUCAGCCACACUGGGACUGAGACACGGCCCAGACUCCUACGGGAGGCAGCAGUGGGGAAUAUUGGACAAUGGGCGAAAGCCUGAUCCAGCAAUGCCGCGUGAGUGAUGAAGGCCUUAGGGUUGUAAAGCUCUUUUACCCGGGAUGAUAAUGACAGUACCGAGAGAAUAAGCUCCGGCUAACUCCGUG
rnacentral:rRNA from 1 species